UGUUGGGUUAAGUCCCGCAACGAGCGCAACCCUCACUUUUAGUUGCCAUCAUUAAGUUGGACUCUGAAAGAACUGCCAGUGAUAAGCUGGAGGAAGGUGGGGAUGACGUCAAGUCCUCAUGGCCCUUACGUGUUGGGCUACACACGUGCUACAAUGGUAUCUACAACAGGAAGCAAAACUGCGAAGUUAAGCAAAUCCCUAAAAGAUACCUCAGUUCGGAUUGCACUCUGCAACUCGAGUGCAUGAAGCUGGAAUUACUAGUAAUCGUGGAUCAGCGUGCCACGGUGAAUGCGUUCCCGGGUCUU
rnacentral:rRNA from 1 species